UUUAAACUUUCUUGGUAGCUCUUUAUUCUGAUUUGUUUGCAAUUCCUUUUGCCUUAUUUGUGCUUGUAUCCACCAGUUUUGCUGCGCCUGACAUUAUUUCUACAAGUGGUGUUUAAGUUGGCCAAGUUUGCUUCUUCACACUCACUUUUUUACUACAAUACUGAGUGUUAAUGUUAACCUUUUGUUGACACCUGGUCAUCUUAUAUUCUUUUGUAUCUAAAUUUCUGAAGUAGUUUCUCUAUUUCCAGAAAUUUGUCGCCACUCAAGAUCCAAUACUGCGGCAGCUUUAUGACGAUGGCCUAAAUGUUAUCCUUGCUAUUCUGAAUAUAAAGAAAUUGUCAGAAAUUAUAAGUUCUUCACUUGUUAUUGAAGCACUCCAACAUGUGCUUCAGAGGUUUAGUGAGAUCUUAUUGUCAAGUUCUUUAAAUUACACUUCUCUACCUUGUGAUACUGCUCUAUUGUGCCUGCAACAACUGAUUAUGAGUUUUAAAGAUCUUGAAGAAUAUGCAUCGAACAUAGCAAUGUCAAUUUUCCCAUUAAUUCUAAUUCUACCCAAGACGUGGAGAUUGAAUCUGAAGGCACUGGAAUUAGCUAAGGAGUUAAAAUGGUCUCUUUAUGGGAAUCUUGUCAAUCUUUCUGGUCGAGAGAAGGUAAGUUGAUUUUCCAUAGGCAAGCUUAUAUGUAAUAUCCCUUGCAUUUGUAU